GCAAAGACGACAAUGCCAACUGAAGAAACAGAGAAUGUCUCCCACUGAGGGUGAUGGCAAAGGAAGAAAAGCAAAAGUGAAGAGGAGAGGGCAGAGAGGCACGAUGGAGCAGGAAAAGAGGAGUGGGGUCAGAAGGAGAGGAAAACAGCAAGCACCUGAAACAUUACAACUGGGGAUAACUACCUAUUCCAAAAGAACUAAAUGAUUCCCUGGACUCCCUUCAAGUGUUAAUUUACCUAACAUAAGUGUCCCACAGAUGAGUAAAUGGAUAUUGAUUCAAUUUAAGUAAUCUACAUACCUUGGUCUCCUUUAGAGCAGAUUCAAUUCCACUUUUGUGCUGGUGCAUUUGGUCAACAUGGAUUCUCCAGUCCUAUUGACACAAAGCAUAUAGAAACAAAGUAUAAAAAACUACUUUUCAUUCUUUAUUUAUUAUGAUGUUGUGUCCUUUAUCUUUAUUACUUUGACUACUGCCCUAUUUCAGGUGGGAAAGUCUUAUAUAUAGAUUGCAAUUAGGCUGUAAAGAAAUAUGUGUAGAGAGUACUUCAGGAAUAAAAGUUCUAAAUAAA